rnacentral:rRNA from 1 species
AGCAGCCGCGGUAAUUCCAGCUCCAAUAGCGUAUAUUAAAGUUGUUGCAGUUAAAAAGCUCGUAGUUGAAUUUCGGGAUUGACACAUCGGUCGUGCCUUAAGGGGUAUGAACUGGUGUAGUCAAUUUCUCACCUUCUGGAGAACCGCGAUGCCCUUAAUUGGGUGUCGCGGGGAACCAGGACCUUUACUUUGAAAAAAUUAGAGUGUUUAAAGCAGGCAUUUUGCUUGAAUACAUUAGCAUGGAAUAAUAAAAUAGGACGGCAUGAUUCUAUUUUGUUGGUUUUAGGAUCACCGUAAUGAUUAAUAGGGAUAGUUGGGGGCAUUAGUAUUCAAUUGUCAGAGGUGAAAUUCUUGGAUUUAUUGAAGACUAACUACUGCGAAAGCAUUUGCCAAGGAUGUUUUCAUUAAUCAAGAACGAAAGUUAGGGGAUCGAAGACGAUCAGAUACCGUCGUAGUCUUAACCAUAAACUAUGCCGACUAGGAAUCAGACGAUGUUAAUUUUUUAAUGACUCGUUUGGCACCUUACG